CCCCGCCCCUGGCCCCCUGCGCCCCCAGCCCCGCUCCCGGCCGCCGCAAACCGCAGGGGGCGGGUGUGCUGUGGGGACACCCACAGCCGGGCGCCAGCACGCAUCUCAGCCCGUAGAAUUAGGAAAGGUGGGCGGCCACCCACCGAAAACCCACCGCCCCGGAGCCCCUGCCCGGGUUGGAGGAGAAGCCGCCCCCGCCCAGCUCGGCGGCCCCCAGAGGGCACAGGCGUUGGGCCCCCCCGAAGGCACGGAGUUCCGACCCUGGCCAGAAUGGGAUCGCGCUCCGCGAGCAGUGAGUGAAACACACCCUCGGUUCCGUCCGAAAG